rnacentral:rRNA from 1 species
CACGUAGUUAGCCGGGGCUUCUUAGUCAGGUACCGUCUUGUCUCGUUCCUGCUGAUAGAGCUUUACAUACCGAAAUACUUCUUCACUCACGCGGCGUCACUGCAUCAGGGUUUCCCCCAUUGUGCAAUAUUCCCCACUGCUGCCUCCCGUAGGAGUUUGGGCCGUGUCUCAGUCCCAAUGUGGCCGUCCACCCUCUCAGGCCGGCUACUGAUCGUCGCUUUGGUAGGCCGUUACCCUGCCAACUGGCUAAUCAGACGCGGGUCCAUCCCAUACCACCGGAGUUUUUCACACAGGAGCAUGCGCUCCCGUGCGCUUAUGCGGUAUUAGCACCUGUUCCAGGUGGUACUCCCCCGGUAGUGGGGCACGGUUACCCACGCGUUACUCCACCCGUCCGCCACUAAGAUACAUCCUUCCGGAAUGCAAGCACUCCUUCUUAAUGCACUCCCCGUCGACUUGCAUGUGUUAAGCACGCCGCCAGCUUCACUCCUGACGCCGAGGAUACAAACUCUACCG